rnacentral:rRNA from 1 species
ACGGGGUGCAGCAGGCGCGAAACCUCCGCAAUGCACGCAAGUGUGACGGGGGGAUCCCAAGUGCUCUUGGAUUUUUCCAAGGGCUUUUUCCAAGUGUAAAUAGCUUGGCGAAUAAGAGCUGGGUAAGACGGGUGCCAGCAGCAGCGGUAAUACCCGCGGCUCGAGUUGUCUGGGUUUUUAUUGGGUCUAAAGCGUCCGUAGCCGGACUGAUAAGUUCCUUGUGAAAUCUAACAGCCUAACUGUUAGGCGUGCAGGGGAUACUAUUAGUCUUGAGACCGGGAUGGGCCAAAGGUACUCUUGGGGUAGGGGUGAAAUCCAAUAAUCCUGAGGGGACCACCUGUGGCGAAGGCGUUUGGCUAAAACGGGUCUGACGGUGAGGGACGAAAGCCAGGGGAGCGAACGGGAUUAGAUACCCCGGUAGUCCUGGCCGUAAAUGAUGCGGACUAGGUGUUACGUACCCUUCUUGGGUAUGUGGUGCCGUAGGGAAGCCGAUAAGUCCGCCACCUGGAAGUACGAUCGCAAGG